rnacentral:rRNA from 1 species
UACAGAGGGGGCAAGCGUUGUUCGGAAUUACUGGGCGUAAAGGGCGCGUAGGCGGCCUUCUAAGUCAGACGUGAAAUCCCCGGGCUCAACCCGGGAACUGCGUCUGAUACUGGAAGGCUUGAAUCCGGGAGAGGGAUGUGGAAUUCCAGGUGUAGCGGUGAAGUGCGUAGAUAUCUGGAGGAACACCGGUGGCGAAGGCGGCAUCCUGGACCGGUAUUGACGCUGAGGCGCGAAAGCCAGGGGAGCAAACGGG